rnacentral:rRNA from 1 species
GACGUAGGUGGCGAACGUUAUCCGGAAUUAUUGGGCGUAAAGGGUGCGUAGGCGGCAUAAUAAGUUAUUGGCGGGAAAUCGAGGCUCAACCUCGUGGAAACUGACAAUACUGUUUUGCUUGAGUACAGGAGAGGUUAACGGAACUCCAUGUGGAGCGGUAAAAUGUGUAGAUAUAUGGAAGAACAUCAAUAACGGCGAAGGCAGUUAACUAUUCUGUUACUGACAUUGAGGCACGAAAGCGUGGGGAGCAAAACGG